UACGUAGGGUGCGAGCGUUACUCGGAAUUACUGGGCGUAAAGCGUGCGUAGGCGGUUUUGUAAGUCAGAUGUGAAAUCCCCGGGCUUAACCUGGGAAUGGCAUUUGGGACUGCAAGGCUGGAGUGUGGCAGAGGAGACUGGAAUUCCUGGUGUAGCAGUGAAAUGCGUAGAGAUCCGGAAGAACACCGGUGGCGAAGGCGGCCUGCUGGGCAGUUUAGCUGACACUGAGGCGCGACAGCGUGGGGAGCAAACAGG
rnacentral:rRNA from 1 species